rnacentral:rRNA from 1 species
UAUUUGUAGCACAAGUGGUGGUCAUUAUUAUUGGGCCUAAAGCGUCCGUAGCUGGUUUGUUAGAUGCCUGGGUAAUCGAUGCGCUCAACGCAUCGAACUCCGGGUAGACCGGCAAACUUGGGAUUGGGAGAGAUGUGAGCUACUCGGGGGGUAGGGGUAAAAUCCUGUAAUCCUCCGGGGAGGACCAGUGGCGAAGGCGGCAUCCUGGACCAACACUGACACUGAUGAGCGAAAGCCAGGGGAGCAAACGGG